GGCACAUAUGAUGAACAAAAAGGGACUUAAUGCUGAAAAAGUGAUGCAUUAAUUUGGUUAAUCUGAUGUGC